rnacentral:lncRNA from 1 species
GUUUGAGAGGAGAAAAUGAAACAAGUUUUUUUCUGUUAAAAUGAAGCAAGUUAAGACAAGCCAUAUUAAAAUAACCACAGUAUAUCAUUUAUAUAUUAUAUAAUAAACAAUAAAUGCCAUUAAAUCAUGUGCUGGUAAUUUUUCUUUUCUAUUCUUUGAUGGGUUGUUUAGAGUCUUAUGAAGAAGCUUAAGUUCUAUUUAAUUAUAUGGUUUUAAUUGUUAUGGUCAUCUUUUUUCAUUUGGCAUAUUUAAACAAAACACAAAGAAUCAUUUGUAUAAG